rnacentral:rRNA from 1 species
UACGUAGGGGGCAAGCGUUAUCCGGAUUUACUGGGUGUAAAGGGUGCGUAGACGGGAAAUUAAGUUGGUUGUGAAAUCCCCAGGCUCAACUUGGGAACUGCAACCAAAACUGGUUUUCUUGAGUGCUGGAGAGGAAAGCGGAAUUCCUAGUGUAGCGGUGAAAUGCGUAGAUAUUAGGAGGAACACCAGUGGCGAAGGCGGCUUUCUGGACAGUAACUGACGUUGAGGCACGAAAGUGUGGGGAGCAAAC